rnacentral:lncRNA from 1 species
CAGUCAGUCUGCUACGUCUAGCCCACAGCAGCAAGGAGACAUGGGUGAUCAGGGGUCAGACCAGGGUAUGGGCGCUCAACAGACUGCUGUCAUCAACCUGACUGGAGUAGGAAGCUUUAAGUCCCCACAGACAGCAGUGCUGUCCCAGUUAGGCUGUGGUCUGGAUGGCUCUGGUCCCCCCCUGCCUUCUCCAAGGCUUCAGCAGCCGCAGAUACAAUUGCAAUUCUUGCACCAAAUGCAGCAGCAAAUGGCUAUGAGGGGGGCGGGGCCUCCGGGGGUGUCGCCACGGCUACAUACCGCCAGCCAACCAAGAAGUAAGAGGAAGAGGAGCACACCGCAGCCCCACCCCUAAUCAUGACGACCCCCUACACACACACACACACACACUCAUAAAAUGACCCCCAGCCAUCUGGUGAGCAAUGCCAUGGCACCUUCCCAAAUCAUGGAGAGAAAACCAACCCCUUCCACUUCAUGAAGACAUGAAUGAUCCAAACUGCACUCUUUACUCCCUCACUGCGGAGACUCUGUUGCCUCCCAACUCCCUCACUGCGGAGACUCUGUUGCCUCCCAACUCCCUCACUGUGGAGACUCUGCCUCCCAACUCCCUCACUGUGGAGACUCUGCCUCCCAACUCCCUCACUGUGGAGACUCUGC